rnacentral:rRNA from 1 species
AGUGGCGGACGGGUGAGUAACGCGUAAGAAUCUAACUUCAGGACGGGGACAACAGUGGGAAACGACUGCUAAUACCCGAUGUGCCGCGAGGUGAAACCUAAUUGGCCUGAAGAAGAGCUUGCGUCUGAUUAGCUAGUUGGUGGGGUAAGAGCCUACCAAGGCGACGAUCAGUAGCUGGUCUGAGAGGAUGAGCAGCCACACUGGGACUGAGACACGGCCCAGACUCCUACGGGAGGCAGCAGUGGGGAAUUUUCCGCAAUGGGCGAAAGCCUGACGGAGCAACGCCGCGUGAGGGAGGAAGGUCUUUGGAUUGUAAACCUCUUUUCUCAAGGAAGAAGUUCUGACGGUACUUGAGGAAUCAGCCUCGGCUAACUCCGUGCCUGCAGCCGCGGUAAUACGGGGGAGGCAAGCGUUAUCCGGAAUUAUUGGGCGUAAAGCGUCCGCAGGUGGUCAGCCAAGUCUGCCGUCAAAUCAGGUUGCUUAACGACCUAAAGGCGGUGGAAACUGGCAGACUAGAGAGCAGUAGGGGUAGCAGGAAUUCCCAGUGUAGCGGUGAAAUGCGUAGAGAUUGGGAAGAACAUCGGUGGCGAAAGCGUGCUACUGGGCUGUAUCUGACACUCAGGGACGAAAGCUAGGGGAGCGAAAGGGAUUAGAUACCCCUGUAGUCCUAGCCGUAAACGAUGGAUACUAGGCGUGGCUU